GCUUGAAAAUAUGGUGGGCGUACAUGGCCAGAGAACGGCUUUCUUCAUUGUCUUAAUUACUGUAUCCAAAUUGUUACAAAUGCCUUUUAUCUGUGGUAUUUUACAGAAUUUAGAGGAUGAAUAUUCUCAGCUCUGCUGUGGUCUCUCGCUGCUUGAUAGCCUCCAUCCUCUUCAGACGCUUUGGAACAUGCUCAACAUUAUAAAAGUACAAGCAUCUCUACCACCAGACUCAAAUUUUUCAGAUUAGAGGGUCACUGGUUCAUCUCCCUGACUGAAGCUGUG